GUACUUUGAAAAGAGAGUCAAAGAGAACGCGAAACCGUUAGGAGGGAAGCGAAUGCAGCCAGUACGAGUCCCGUCAGGUUCAGGAGCAGCGGAAGCGUCGCCCUGGGGUUCCGCCUAGAUGGCGCCCGAGGGUAGUCGCGCGGCCGCGCAUCUGCACUCCUGCGGGGCUCUUGCCAACGGCAGUGGUCGGUGCUCACGAGCAGUCGGGGAGGUGACCUUCCCCUCCUCGGAGGAGGGAGGAGCUUAGAACCCCUCUGCGACGGGCAUCGGCGACUGAGGAGACGAUCACUUCCGAUCUGAAGGACGCAGGCCCCAUGGGGCUGGCCCCCCUCUCGGACGUCCGGUCUCGCGACCCAGGACUGCAUGCAGUGCUGGGACGCGUGCGCCUUCGACCGGGGGGGAAGGGUGCAACUGCGUCGGGCGGUUGGCAAAACGUGGCUCCAUCCGUCCCGUCUUGAAACACGGACCAAGGAGUGCAACACGCCCGCGAGUCUUUGGGUGGCAAACCCGCCGGCGAAAUGAAAGUGAAGGCGCCCUCGGGGUGCCGAGGCGAGAGCCGCGAGAAAGGCGGUGCAUCGUCGACCGAUCCUAUCCACGCCGUGGGGGGAUUCGAGUUAGAGCGUGCCUGUUGCGACCCGAAAGAUGGUGAACUAUGCCUGAAUAGGGUGAAGCCAGAGGAAACUCUGGUGGAAGCUCGUAGCGAUUCUGACGUGCAAAUCGAUCGUCAAAUUUGGGUAUAGGGGCGAAAGACUAAUCGAACCAUCUAGUAGCUGGUUCCCUCCGAAGUUUCCCUCAGGAUAGCUGGAACCCGGAGCAGUUUUAUCAGGUAAAGCGAAUGAUUAGAGGUCUUGGGGUUGAAACAACCUCAACCUAUUCUCAAACUUUAAAUGGGUAAGAAGCCUGGCUUGCUCGAUUGAAGUCAGGCAUGGAAUGCCGGGGUUCCUAGUGGGCCAUUUUUGGUAAGCAGAACUGGCGAUGCGGGAUGAACCGAACGCCGGGUUAAGGUGCCCGAAUCGGCGCUCAUCAGACACCAUGAAAGGUGUUGGUUGAUCUAGACAGCAGGACGGUGGCCAUGGAAGUCGGAAUCCGCUAAGGAGUGUGUAACAACUCACCUGCCGAAUCAACUAGCCCUGAAAAUGGAUGGCGCUCAAGCGCCGUACCCAUACCCGGCCGUCGGGGCGAGAGGCCUGUCCCGACGAGUAGGAGGGCGCGGUGGUGGCCGUGCAUCCCGAGGCGCGAGCCUGGGCGAAGCCGCCUCCGGUGCAGAUCUUGGUGGUAGUAGCAAAUAUUCAAACGAGAGCUUUGAAGACUGAAGUGGAGAAAGGUUCCAUGUGAACAGCAGUUGGACAUGGGUUAGUCGAUCCUAAGAGAUGGGGAAGCUCCCUAGCAAGGGUGCACUCACUUCUGUGACCGCACCGUCCAUCGAAAGGGAAUCGGGUUAACAUUCCCGAACCGGGACGAGGAUAAGGCCUCGCGCCUACGGCGGCAACGCAAGCGAACUCGGAGACGCCGGCGGGAGCUCCGGGAAGGGUUCUCUUUCCUUCUUAACGGACCGUCACCCUGGAAUCAGAUUGGCUGGAGAUAGGGUCGAAUGUCCGGUAAAGCGCCGCACCUCUGGCGGUGUCCGGUGCGCUCUCGACGGCCCCUGAAA
rnacentral:rRNA from 1 species